rnacentral:rRNA from 1 species
UACGUAGGUGACAAGCGUUGUCCGGAUUUACUGGGCGUAAAGAGCGCGCAGGCGGUCGUUCAAGUCGAGUGUGAAAGCCCCCGGCUCAACUGGGGAGGGUCACUCGAUACUGAUCGACUCGAAGGCAGGAGAGGGUAGUGGAAUUCCCGGUGUAGAGGUGAAAUUCGUAGAUAUCAGGAGGAACACCGGUGGCGAAAGCGGCUCCCUGGCCCGAUACUGACGCUCAUGUACGAAAGCGUGGGGAGCAAACAGG